GGGGGGGAAGGGGUUCCUUCAUCUGAUUCCCCGUUUAUUUCCCUCUACCUCGUCCUCUGUCGCCGCUGAUAACGUAACAAAUUCGUUUGGGGGACUUGUCGCAAGAGGACCGAGCAAAAACCGAAAGCGAUUUGAAUCAAGCAAGCCGCUUGGCAAGCUGCUUGCCAACGGAACACUACCGUCCCUCGGAUGGCCGUGAAACCAGGCAUGCCAUCCCGUCCCCACGGCGUCCUUCGCGAAGAGUACAAAUUACAAAUUCCAGCUGCAACUUACAGGGGGGGGCACUGCAUCAGCGGCACAGCACAAUAAUUGUGGAGUGAGAGGGUGUUCUGUUUGCCAUUGCUUAAUAAUGAAUGAAUAUGCGAUUGUAGUUUAAUUACGUGGUGAGUUGAUUUGGCGUUUGCGAGGUUAAACAACACCAAUUGGAUGCAUUGCACGGAUUUUUACAAACGAAGGACGACUUGCCGAUCACAAUACGGUAUUCCAAGUCGUGACGUGGUGAGGAGCACGAAAACUGCGAUGAAGAAGAGGAGGGAGAGAGAGAAGAGACAGAGGAGAGGAAGAAGAAGAAGAUUCAUUUGGCGUGUGGAGUCGAGAACGUCAGACGAGCGCGAAGGCGGGAAACCGGUGACGAUGCUGCGUGGGAGUGAAUUCCUUUCACAAAAGAAACCUGAGAUGAUGGGGAUUUUAUUGCCUCUGUGCGAAGUUGGCCGUGCGGCCGACAAGAUGCCCGUGAGGGCCGACUGUGUGAAGUCCAUCUCGCCGAACCUCAGCAAAUGCCAGGAGGGAGAUGGAGAUGGUGCUCAAGCAGCUCAAGUAAAAGAUAAAAGGAAAUGGAAUGAAACGGAAGGUGAUGACAAGCUUAUGAGAUCAAACACAGAACAAGCAUCACUCAAUUUCCCAGAUGGUUUCUUGGAUUCUUUAGUAAAAGAGCAGCAAGCAAUGGUUGAGAACACCUUCAACGAGAUCUGUCAGCAGUUCCACACCACAAAGGAGCAUGUUGAGAUGAUCCACUCAAAAACUGGUGAGCUGAUCAACGCCACCGUUCAAAUGGAGCACUAUUGGAUGGAGCAGAAGAACGAAUUGAAGGGCAAGCUGUUGCAACUCAGCAACGUCAUGGAUCUCAACAACUAGCACUCUCUCAUGUAUUUGCCCAAGUUGGGUGGAAAAAAAAGAUAUUGCGACAUGUUUAAAUGAGCGGUCUUAUUGCGACUUCGUUUUAUCACCUUCCACAACACAAUGGUUGCCUUUCAAUGACUUUAGAUCACAUUUGUCACACCUCGUGCAGUGUAGAUCGCACAAUUUAUAAUAUGACUGACAUUGUAAUAUGCCUUGUAUAACCAUACGAAUAAAAUUGCCUUUGUUCAAACUUAACAAACUUCAGAAGGGGCCUUUCAUUUUAAACUUUAUGAACAAAAAAACACUAAAAAAAACAACUUGCAAACUCGGUGGAGUGCCUUACACCCAACACAAUGAACUGUCAGAAAAUGUUUCACUCAAAUAUUGUUAAUUUUAUCACUGAAGAUGGUGACACAAGGGGAGCCAAUGUAUCUAUAUUUUGUAACGAUUUGCUUUCAAAAUUUAUUCCAUGGAAGAACUCAAGGAAGGGUUUGAAACAACAAAGGGCUUACUUUGGGUAGCCUUUCGUGGUUGCUUUAUGCAGCGUCUUUGGCGAGAAGAGCAUGGGAGGAGCCAAUUUAUUUAUAUAAUCCUAGCCACCUGGGUUUAAUUGAUUAGAUGAGAGCUGAUUGGUUAUUCCCUCCAUUCAAAGGUAAGAGAUGUGGGUGGAUCUUCAUUUUUUUCAUUUAUAUUGUUGUGGUUUUCCGCCAUUCCGGCGUGCGAGCGACCGCUUUUAGCUAAUCGCAGCCGCGUGCCCACCGGAUGUGGCAAAUCUCGUCGCAGCUUUUGGAUCAAUGCCGAAAUCCAGCUACGGGUGUGUUUUUAAUGACACCGAAAACCAGCCAACUAUUCUGUCCGCGCGCGACAGGGUCCGAUCGCCAAAUUGUCGAUUUACCUUAGUAUGCGCGCAGACAGAAAUGCCGGGGAUUUACACCUCGACGGGACCUGCUUGGAAACGAGCCGCUUAAGCAGCUCUCUCCGUUUGCGAUUUGCCGAGCGGUGUAUAUCGCCAAGCCCCGCUGGAUCCAAUUACUUUAUCGGCUAUUUAAAAGCCCGCUAAUAUCCCAAAUGCAAUACGGCAGCUCAAUUAAGGGAAAGGACGCAACGAACAGGUCAACAUUCACACAAG
ensembl:lincRNA